rnacentral:rRNA from 1 species
UACGUAGGGUGCGAGCAUUGUCCGGAAUUAUUGGGCGUAAAGAGCUCGUAGGCGGCUUGUCGCGUCGGAUGUGAAAGCCCGGGGCUUAACUUCGGGUCUGCAUUCGAUACGGGCAGGCUAGAGUUCGGUAGGGGAGAUCGGAAUUCCUGGUGUAGCGGUGAAAUGCGCAGAUAUCAGGAGGAACACCGGUGGCGAAGGCGGAUCUCUGGGCCGAUACUGACGCUGAGGAGCGAAAGCGUGGGGAGCGAACAGG